UAGGGCUGGAGCUGGGGCCCACAUACAUCCAAAGCACAUCUGUUCAAAAAGUAGGUACUUAGGGCUUGUAUUCAGAGUGGUCCUCGGACAGGCAGGAAAGCUGCUGGAGUGGGACUCAGCUAAGUGCAGGGACAGAUACAUGGGGAGUGGGGCACAGUCCAGCACCUACCGCGGGUAGGCAUACAGCAGCUGGUAUGUCCCACUGGGCGCUGCCUCUUCCUCAUCCCAGAAGCAAGUGAGGUCCUCAAAUGUUCGGGAGAAACACUUCAGGGGCUCUGAGUCUGAUGCCAGCAAGGAGACAUCUAAGGAACAGCUGAGAUGAGGAAACGGAGAUACAGAGAAGUUAAAGAUUUGCCCAAGAUUACAUACUAAGACAUAAAGCUCAGGAGGUCAACCUUCAGAACCCACCUGCAUAACAGCCAUGCUGUGCUAUGCU
rnacentral:lncRNA from 10 species